GUCACAGAGGAAGGACAGUGGAGUCUGGCAUCUUAUUGGUGUGUCUUUAAAGGAUUGCCAUUUAAUGCCAUUCAAGAUCUACUAAGCAACAUUUUUGCAUGACUACUACAAAAGGAUUACUUUACAGAUACCAGUUCCUUUGUCAAGAGCAUACUUUGGACCCUGUUUUCAGAAAGCAGGUACGGUUCAUCUUUUUUAAACUGCCUAUAAAAUUGAAAGAAAUGUUG
rnacentral:lncRNA from 1 species